AGGCCUAACACAUGCAAGUCGAGGGGCAUCACAGGGUAGCAAUAUCCGGGUGGCGACCGGCGCACGGGUGAGUAACGCGUAUGUAACCUGCCCACUACAGGGGGAUAGCCCGGAGAAAUCCGGAUUAAUACCGCAUAAAACGGUUGUACCGCCUGGUACGACAAGUAAAAGAUUUAUUGGUAGUGGAUGGGCAUGCGUCCCAUUAGGUAGUUGGUAAGGUAAUGGCUUACCAAGCCGUCGAUGGGUAGGGGCACUGAGAGGUUUGUCCCCCACACUGGUACUGAGACACGGACCAGACUCCUACGGGAGGCAGCAGUGAGGAAUAUUGGUCAAUGGUCGGGAGACUGAACCAGCCAAUCCGCGUGAAGGACGACGGUAUUAUGUAUUGUAAACUUCUUUGGCAGGGGAGUAAAAAGGAUCACGAGUUGGUUCCUUGCAAGUACCCUGAGAACAAGCAUCGGCUAACUCCGUGCCAGCAGCCGCGGUAAUACGGAGGAUGCAAGCGUUAUCCGGAUUUAUUGGGUUUAAAGGGUGCGUAGGCUGGAUGUUAAGUCGGCGGUGAAAUUCUGUGGCUCACCCACAGGUGUGCCGUCGAAACUGAUAUUCUUGAGAGAAGACAAGGCAGGCGGAAUUCGUGGUGUAGCGGUGAAAUGCAUAGAUAUCACGAGGAACACCGAUAGCGCAGGCAGCUUGCCGGGCUUCAACUGACGCUGAGGCACGAAAGUGCGGGAAUCAAACAGGAUUAGAUACCCUGGUAGUCCGCACAGUAAACGAUGAUCACUCGCUGUCCGCGAUAUAAAGUGGGUAGCCAAGCGAAAGCGGUAAGUGAUCCACCUGGGGAGUACGCCGGCAACGGUGAAACUCAAAGGAAUUGACGGGGGCCCGCACAAGCGGAGGAACAUGUGGUUUAAUUCGAUGAUACGCGAGGAACCUUACCCGGGCUUGAAAUGUGACCGACGAUAGAGGAAACUUUAUUUCCAGCAAUGGCGGUUAUGUAGGUGCUGCAUGGUUGUCGUCAGCUCGUGCCGUGAGGUGUCGGCUUAAGUGCCAUAACGAGCGCAACCCUUACCGGUAGUUACCAGCGGUUUUAGCCGGGGACUCUACCGGGACUGCCACCGCAAGGUGAGAGGAAGGUGGGGAUGACGUCAAAUCAGCACGGCCCUUACGUCCGGGGCGACACACGUGUUACAAUGGGUGGUACAAAGGGCAGCUAUACGGCGACGUAACGCCAAUCUCAAAAACCACUCCCAGUUCGGAUCGGAGUCUGCAACCCGACUCCGUGAAGCUGGAUUCGCUAGCAAUCGCGCAUCAGCCAUGGCGCGGUGAAUACGUUCCCGGGCAUUGUACACACCGCCCGUAU
rnacentral:rRNA from 1 species